GCUCUCCUUGAAGCUUUCCUUCUUGGCCCCUUCUUUCUCCCUCUGGCUGCUCUUGGAAGAGCCGGCUGAGGCUCGGGCCUGGAAGCUGUAGCUGGUUGCACCAAACGACAUCCCCGAGUUAAAUAUUUUAUUCCUGGCAGUGUGAAAAGGGCUUUGAAACAACAACUAGAUCUUCAGACUGGGAAAUGAAACAAGACUCAUUGGUGCCCCUCAGGGUCUCUAUCUCAAUGGUCUUGGACUGCAGCUGCCUCCUGAACUCAUUGAUCUCCUCCCUGCUGGCCCUCAUGGCCUCGUUGCUCCUGGUGGCCUGCUCGCUGAGGCUGGCAAACUUGCUC